CUCCUACGGGAGGCAGCAGUAGGGAAUCUUCGGCAAUGGGGGGAACCCUGACCGAGCAACGCCGCGUGAGUGAAGAAGGUUUUCGGAUCGUAAAGCUCUGUUGUUAAGGAAGAACGAGUGUGAGAAUGGAAAGUUCAUACUGUGACGGUACUUAACCAGAAAGGGACGGCUAACUACGUGCCAGCAGCCGCGGUAAUACGUAGGUCCCGAGCGUUGUCCGGAUUUAUUGGGCGUAAAGCGAGCGCAGGCGGUUAGAAAAGUCUGAAGUUAAAGGCUGUGGCUUAACCAUAGUACGCUUUGGAAACUGUUUAACUUGAGUGCAGAAGGGGAGAGUGGAAUUCCAUGUGUAGCGGUGAAAUGCGUAGAUAUAUGGAGGAACACCGGUGGCGAAAGCGGCUCUCUGGUCUGUAACUGACGCUGAGGCUCGAAAGCGUGGGGAGCGAACAGGAUUAGAUACCCUGGUAGUCCACGCCGUAAACGAUGAGUGCUAGGUGUUAGGUCCUUUCCGGGACUUAGUGCCGCAGCUAACGCAUUAAGCACUCCGCCUGGGGAGUACGACCGCAAGGUUGAAACUCAAAGGAAUUGACGGGGGCCCGCACAAGCGGUGGAGCAUGUGGUUUAAUUCGAAGCAACGCGAAGAACCUUACCAGGUCUUGACAUCCCGAUGCUAUUUCUAGAGAUAGGAAGUUUCUUCGGAACAUCGGUGACAGGUGGUGCAUGGUUGUCGUCAGCUCGUGUCGUGAGAUGUUGGGUUAAGUCCCGCAACGAGCGCAACCCUUAUUGUUAGUUGCCAUCAUUGAGUUGGGCACUCUAGCGAGACUGCCGGUAAUAAACCGGAGGAAGGUGGGGAUGACGUCAAAUCAUCAUGCCCCUUAUGACCUGGGCUACACACGUGCUACAAUGGCUGGUACAACGAGUCGCAAGCCGGUGACGGCAAGCUAAUCUCUGAAAGCCAGUCUCAGUUCGGAUUGUAGGCUGCAACUCGCCUACAUGAAGUCGGAAUCGCUAGUAAUCGCGGAUCAGCACGCCGCGGUGAAUACGUUCCCGGGCCUUGUACACACCGC
rnacentral:rRNA from 1 species